rnacentral:rRNA from 1 species
GUGGGGAAUAUUGGUCAAUGGACGGAAGUCUGAACCAGCCAAGUAGCGUGCAGGAUGACGGCCCUAUGGGUUGUAAACUGCUUUUUUAGGGGAAUAAAGUUAGCCACGUGUGGUUAUUUGCAUGUACCCUACGAAUAAGGACCGGCUAAUUCCGUGCCAGCAGCCGCGGUAAUACGGAAGGUCCGGGCGUUAUCCGGAUUUAUUGGGUUUAAAGGGAGCGCAGGCCGUUUGGUAAGCGUGUUGUGAAAUGUCCGGGCUCAACCUGGGCACUGCAGCGCGAACUGUCAGACUUGAGUGCACAGGAAGCGGGCGGAAUUCGUGGUGUAGCGGUGAAAUGCUUAGAUAUCACGAAGAACUCCAAUUGCGAAGGCAGCUCGCUGUAGUGUUACUGACGCUAAAGCUCGAAAGUGCGGGUAUCGAACAGG